GUGCUCACUUUGGCAGUAUAUGGACUAAAAUGGGAACGAUGCAAAGAAGAUAAGCAUGGCCCCUGAACAAGGAUGGUCUGCAAAUUCCUGAAGCAUUCUGUAUUUUA